rnacentral:rRNA from 1 species
UACGUAGGGGCAAGCGUUGUCCGGAAUCAUUGGGCGUAAAGAGCGUGUAGGCGGCCAGGUAGGUCGGUUGUGAAAACUGGAGGCUCAACCUUCGAAGAGGUCGACCGAAACCAUCUGGCUAGAGUCCGGGAGAGGAGGAGGUGGAAUUCCUGGAUGUAGGCGGUGAAUGACGCAGAUAUCAGGAAGAACACCCGUGGCGAAAGCGGCUCUCUGGAACGGUACUGACGCUGAGACGCGAAGCGUGGGA